UAACACUGAGAGAUGAUGACGAGUUUCUACGGAAAUGAAGUAACUGAUACCACGCUUCCAGGAAAAGCCACUAAGCGAAAGGCUUUACUAAACCGUACUGAAAACCGACACAGGUGGUCAGGUAGAGAAUACUCAGGCGCUUGAGAGAACUCGGGUGAAGGAACUAGGCAAAAUAGCACCGUAACUUCGGGAGAAGGUGCGCUGGCGUAGGUUGUAAGAGUAUACCUCCGAAGGCUGAACCAGUCGAAGAUACCAGCUGGCUGCAACUGUUUAUUAAAAACACAGCACUCUGCAAACACGAAAGUGGACGUAUAGGGUGUGAUGCCUGCCCGGUGCUGGAAGGUUAAUUGAUGGUGUUAUCGAAAGAGAAGCUCCUGAUCGAAGCCCCAGUAAACGGCGGCCGUAACUAUAACGGUCCUAAGGUAGCGAAAUUCCUUGUCGGGUAAGUUCCGACCUGCACGAAUGGCAUAAUGAUGGCCAGGCUGUCUCCACCCGAGACUCAGUGAAAUUGAAAUCGCCGUGAAGAUGCGGUGUACCCGCGGCUAGACGGAAAGACCCCGUGAACCUUUACUAUAGCUUGACACUGAACAUUGAAUUUUGAUGUGUAGGAUAGGUGGGAGACUUAGAAGCAGGCACGCCAGUGCUUGUGGAGUCGACCUUGAAAUACCACCCUUUAACGUUUGAUGUUCUAACGAAGAUUACGAAACGUGGUCUCGGACAGUGUCUGGUGGGUAGUUUGACUGGGGCGGUCUCCUCCCAAAGCGUAACGGAGGAGCACGAAGGUUUGCUAAUCACGGUCGGACAUCGUGAGGUUAGUGCAAUGGUAUAAGCAAGCUUAACUGCGAGACAGACAAGUCGAGCAGGUGCGAAAGCAGGUCAUAGUGAUCCGGUGGUUCUGAAUGGAAGGGCCAUCGCUCAACGGAUAAAAGGUACUCCGGGGAUAACAGGCUGAUACCGCCCAAGAGUUCAUAUCGACGGCGGUGUUUGGCACCUCGAUGUCGGCUCAUCACAUCCUGGGGCUGAAGUAGGUCCCAAGGGUAUGGCUGUUCGCCAUUUAAAGUGGUACGCGAGCUGGGUUUAGAACGUCGUGAGACAGUUCGGUCCCUAUCUGCCGUGGGCGUUGGAGAAUUGAGAGGGGCUGCUCCUAGUACGAGAGGACCGGAGUGGACGCAUCACUGGUGUACCAGUUGUCUCGCCAGAGGCAUUGCUGGGUAGCUAAAUGCGGAAGAGAUAAGUGCUGAAAGCAUCUAAGCACGAAACUCGCCUUAAGAUGAGUUCUCCCUAGCUAUAAGCUAGUAAGGGUUGUUGAAGACUACGACGUAGAUAGGUCUGGUGUGUAAGCGGUGUGAGCCGUUGAGCUAACAGAUACUAAUUGCCCGAGAGGCUUAACUAUACAACCUCAAGCGUU
rnacentral:rRNA from 1 species